CAUGGAACGGAUCCAAGAGGAAUCUCGUGCUGGGGAGCUGCUCGACGGAGGAGGAUGCCCAGAGAGUGUGCGGAGAAGAGCCAGAACCUGCAAAAUCUCACUCAGCCAAAUAUUGUCGAAGUUGUACUGGGAAUUCUCUCAAAGCUAUAGUACAAC